CCCCGCGCCGCCUCUCUGGUUUGUUCGCCCGGCGCAGGUCGCCCGCCUCUUUGUCAGCUGGAAUCGCGCGGGCGGACGCGCCACUACUUUGUAGCGGGUUUCGGGCGGGCCACGGGUGCGGCGACAGGAACCCAACCCCAGCUGACCUUGAGCUCAGGAGUUCAUCUUUUACGUCUGCGGAAGUGCAGCUGCCUCAGUUCUUAGCACAGGUUGACAACUACAGGUACAAGCCAUUGAAGCUGGAAUGUCCUGUUGCUGGUAUUUCAGUUGACUUAAGCCAACUAUCCCUUCAGUUACAAUAGGAAAGUGCCCCUAAUAAGGCCAAAUAUGCGUACUAACUUGUAGCAACCACGUGUCCGUGCAGUGCCACAGGAGCUAGAGCAGUGGGACAACGCUGGUGGCAACAGGGCAAUGUAGCAGGUGCUUCAUGUUCACCUUUUCAGCCUUUUUCAUUUAAUUGUCACAACUCAGAGGUGGAUUCUGUUAGGGACAAGCUGCCCCAGGACCACCCCGCCCCCGCCAACUCAAUGCAGCUGACCCUUAACCUGAAUACUCUGCAGCUACAUUCCUGAACCCUUAUCUAGGUGCCACAGCAAGGUCCCCAGACUUGCUACACCGAAGCCCUCCGGGUGGCACGGGGGAGGUCAUGAGAAACGUGGAUAAACCUAACUUACACCCCCUUGUAAAUUCCUGUUUUCACAAGAUAAUAUAUUGUAAGUCGGCCACGAGAUGAAAUGUGGUAGCUAAUCAACUAACAACCCCCCGGGUCUCUCUCCCCCAUAUAAACCCCUCAUUUUGUAAGCUCAGGGCUGCCACCUCUGGUGGAGAAGCCCGGCAGGUUAAUAAACUUACUUGCCUGACCUUGGGUCUCUUGUCUUUUCUCUCUGCUAACCUUACAGAUUCUAUUCUCCCGUUUCAUAGGUAAAGAAAUGGAUUAGGGGUAACUGAAGUUUCAUCACAU
rnacentral:lncRNA from 1 species